rnacentral:rRNA from 1 species
UACAGAGGUCUCAAGCGUUGUUCGGAUUCAUUGGGCGUAAAGGGUGUGUAGGUGGCGCGCUAAGUCGGGUGUGAAAUUUCGGAGCUUAACUCCGAAACUGCAUUCGAUACUGGCGUGCUUGAGGACUGGAGAGGAGACUGGAAUUCAUGGUGUAGCAGUGAAAUGCGUAGAUAUCAGGAGGAACACCGAUGGCGAAGGCAGGUCUCUGGGCUGACACUGACGCUCAUGCACGAAAGCGUGGGGAGCAAACAGG